rnacentral:rRNA from 1 species
GAUUUCUGGUUUGAUGUACCUGUCCCGCCUCGGUAACGGGGUCGAGUGACGGAGUAUGUUUGCCAUCCUUCUAGAGAGCACAAGCUAUCCUUUACUGGACCGGUUUGUGUCAUCUAGAUCUUUUACUUUGAAAAAAUUAGAGUGUUUCAAGCAGGCGUUUUUUGCUAUGAAUACAUUAGCAUGGAAUAAUGAGUUAGGACUUCGGUUCUAUUUUGUUGGUUUCUAGGACUGAAGUAAUGAUUGAUAGGGAUAGUUGGGGGUGCUAGUAUUCAGCGGCCAGAGGUGAAAUUCUUGGAUUCGCUGAAGACUAACUUAUGCGAAAGCAUU